rnacentral:rRNA from 1 species
AAUUUUCGACAAUGGGGGCAAGCCUGAUCCAGCCACCCCGCAUGUGCGAUGAAGGCCAUCGGCAUGUAAAGAACCUUUGGCAGGGUCGAAAAGUCUCUGGCUAAUACCUGGAGCUGCUGACGGUACCUGCAGAUUAAGCACCGCUCAACUGCGUGCUAUACGCCGCGGUAAUACGUAGGGUGCAAGCGUUCAUCGGAAUUACUGGGCGUAAAGCGUGCGCAGGCGGUUCGGCAAGAAGGAUGUGAAAUCCCAGGGCUUAACCUUGGAACUGCAUUCUUAACUGCCGGGCUAGAGUAUGUCAGAGGGGGGUAGAAUUCCGCGUGUAGCAGUGAAAUGCGUAGAGAUGCGGAGGAAUACCGAUGGCGAAGGCAGCCCCCUGGGAUAAUACUGACGCUCAUGCACGAAAGCGUGGGGAGCAAACA